rnacentral:rRNA from 1 species
UACGUAGGGUGCAAGCGUUAAUCGGAAUUACUGGGCGUAAAGCGUGCGCAGGCGGUUGGGCAAGUCCGGUGUGAAAUCCCCGGGCUCAACCUGGGAAUGGCAUUGGUGACUGCACGGCUAGAGUGUGUCAGAGGGGGGUAGAAUUCCACGUGUAGCAGUGAAAUGCGUAGAGAUGUGGAGGAAUACCGAUGGCGAAGGCAGCCCCCUGGGAUAACACUGACGCUCAUGCACGAAAGCGUGGGGAGCAAACAGG